rnacentral:rRNA from 1 species
CCUACGGGAGGCAGCAGUGGGGAAUAUUGCGCAAUGGGCGAAAGCCUGAUGCAGCGACGCCGCGUGAGGGAUGAAGGUCUUCGGAUCGUAAACCCCUGUCAGCAGGGAAGAAAGUGCACUGUGCUAAUCAGCAGUGAAUUGACGGUACCUGCAAAGGAAGCACCGGCUAACUCCGUGCCAGCAGCCGCGGUAAUACGGAGGUUGCGAGCGUUAAUCGGAUUUACUGGGCGUAAAGCGCUCGUAGGCGGUAUGUUAAGUCAAGGGUGAAAUCCCCGGGCUCAACGUGGGAACUGCAUUUGAAACUGGCAAACUUGAGUGCGUGAGAGGAUAGUGGAAUUCCAGGUGUAGGGGUGAAAUCCGUAGAUAUCUGGAGGAACACCAGUGGCGAAGGCGACUAUCUGGCACAUAACUGACGCUGAGGUGCGAAAGCGUGGGUAGCAAACAGGAUUAGAUACCCGAGUAGUC